GGGCCAACGAUGGAACAAUGGAUUCUCGCUCCAGCCCUUCAUGCUGGAGGGCAAUGGCAUGAUCUCGCCUCACUACAACCUCCGCUUCUGGGUUCAAGUGAUCCUCCCACCUCAGCCCCCCAAGUAGCUGGGAAUACAGGUUAGCCACCCAGUAGAGCUACUGAGUUCCAUCCUGGUACUGGGGAAUGUCUAUAGAGACUCCUGUGAUGUGAUCCAUCUUCAGAUCUUGCAGCCAUGACUACUAGCACCUGCUCCAGCCGCUACAUUCAGUCAUCCAGUGACCUCAGCAACUUUUCAGUUGAAGAUUCUGCAUCACCAGAUAACAGAACAAACUCAAGAGCUUAUCAACAUGUAUUUCUAAAUUAAUUUAUUUAAGCUGCAAGGUUUUAUUCUACCUAUUUUUCAUGAGCAUUCAGCUAUUAUUAAGCUAAGC
rnacentral:lncRNA from 10 species